rnacentral:lncRNA from 1 species
UGUAACCUUUGUAGUUGCCUCUGUAUUUCGACCGGGUUCAAUCCAUGAUCCGAAUAAACGACCCGAUCCGAUCCCAUAGCACGGUCGUCGGCUACGUGAUAAUCGGGCGGAGGCGGGGGUGGCACUGCAACCGAUUCCGGAAUCUUCUGCGGCGGAAUUGGAACUCCUUUCUCUAAACCGAACAAGAAAUCGACGUUGUUAGCGAUCUUUUUCGAGUCAGUUACGUGACUCGGACCGGAAUUCAAAGCAUCGACGAACCGGUCCCGAUCGGACUUGGAUCCUUCGGAUCCGAAGCUGGAAGUCGUGCCAGCCGGAAACAAGAACAGCCGCAUACGAGCUGGCUUCGCCGAGGCCCGAUAAAGCCGGUCGUAUUCAUUCAUCAUGUGCUCGAGAUCGUCGUCGUUGGUCACGGAGAUCAAGGCGUCGAGAUCUUCUCCCGGAAGCUGGUACUUGAACGACACGUCGUUGUCGCCGCAGAGAGCCGCUAGCUUGCUGAUCAUGGAGGCGAACUUGAUGGCGCGAUCGGCGGCGAGUAUUUUGGUCUCGCCGCCGAUGUAGGCGAGCUGGUUGUCGUGAGGGCGCGGAUGGAUCUUGCCGCCGUAGCUGCACAUGAACUUGGCUCUGUAGGCUUGGGGAUUCUGGUUGUCCUCCCAUGGCGGAGGAUUCUCGAAAUCGAUCUCGCGUGAUCGUGGAGACGAGUCGCCGGA